UUCUAAUUCUGUUCCCUAAAGGGAGGGAAACCAAGACAUCACACUUGUAGACGCAAUAUAUGUCUGAAUUAAUAUAUGUCUGAAUUUUUAGCAACCCAGGGUGGGCAAAUCAGUGAGGCAAAUGGGGAAACAUUGUUAGCAAAUAGUAAUUGGAACAAGUUAUAAUUAUUGUGAAAUAUAUUGUUAGGCGUUAUAGACCAUUAAUA
rnacentral:lncRNA from 1 species